AUCCCAUGGUGAGGACAUUUACUUAAUAAUUCCUUGAAUGUAUCUCAAGCAUCAAACAAAGACUCAUCAUCUUCUUGUCUAAAUGAAUUAAUAUCAUUUCUCAUUUU